AGAGGUCUCAAGCGUUGUUCGGAUUCAUUGGGUGUAAAGGGUGCGCAGGCGGACUGGUAAGUCAGGGGUGAAAUCUCACAGCUCAACUGUGAAACGUCCUUUGAGACUGCCAGUCUUGAAUCCAGAAGAGAGUCGUGGAAUUCCGAGUGUAGCAGUGAAAUGUGUAGAUAUUCGGAAGAACACCAGUGGCGAAGGCAGCGACUUGGUCUGGUAUUGACGCUCAGGCACGAAAGCAUGGGGAUCAAACAGGAUUAGAUACCCUGGUAGUCCAUGCCCUAAACGAUGAUCACUUGAUGUCAGCCCUUAGGGUUGGCGUCGGAGCUAACGCGUUAAGUGAUCCACCUGGGGAGUACGCACGCAAGGGUG
rnacentral:rRNA from 1 species